UGGUGGGGUGACUGCGUACCUUUUGUAUAAUGGGUCAGCGACUUAUAUUCUGUAGCAAGGUUAACCGAAUAGGGGAGCCGGAGGGAAACCGAGUCUUAAUUGGGCGUUAAGUUGCAGGGUAUAGACCCGAAACCCGGUGAUCUAGCCAUGGGCAGGUUGAAGGUUGGGUAACACUAACUGGAGGACCGAACCGACUAAUGUUGAAAAAUUAGCGGAUGACCUGUGGCUGGGGGUGAAAGGCCAAUCAAACCGGGAGAUAGCUGGUUCUCCCCGAAAGCUAUUUAGGUAGCGCCUCGUGAAUUCAUCUCCGGGGGUAGAGCACUGUUUCGGCUAGGGGGCCAUCCCGGCUUACCAACCCGAUGCAAACUGCGAAUACCGGAGAAUGUUAUCACGGGAGACACACGGCGGGUGCUAACGUCCGUCGUGAAGAGGGAAACAACCCAGACCGCCAGCUAAGGUCCCAAAGUCAUGGUUAAGUGGGAAACGAUGUGGGAAGGCCCAGACAGCCAGGAUGUUGGCUUAGAAGCAGCCAUCAUUUAAAGAAAGCGUAAUAGCUCACUGGUCGAGUCGGCCUGCGCGGAAGAUGUAACGGGGCUAAACCAUGCACCGAAGCUGCGGCAGCGACGCUGAUGCGUUGUUGGGUAGGGGAGCG
rnacentral:rRNA from 1 species